rnacentral:rRNA from 1 species
UACGUAGGGGGCAAGCGUUGUCCGGAUUUAUUGGGCGUAAAGAGCGUGUAGGCGGUUAGGUAGGUCCGUUGUGAAAACUCGAGGCUCAACCUCGAGACGCCGAUGGAAACCAUCUAACUAGAGUCCGGAAGAGGAGAGUGGAAUUCCUGGUGUAGCGGUGAAAUGCGCAGAUAUCAGGAGGAACACCAGUGGCGAAGGCGGCUUCCUGGCCUGUUCUUGACGCUGAGGCGCGAAAGCUAGGGGAGCAAACGGG